rnacentral:snRNA from 1 species
CUAUCCAUCCUGAGUUUC